rnacentral:rRNA from 1 species
CAAGUCGAGGGGCAGCACGGGUAGCAAUAUCUGGUGGCGACCGGCGCACGGGUGCGUAACACGUAUACAAUCUGCCUUCUACAGAGGGAUAGCCCGGAGAAAUUCGGAUUAAUACCUCAUAACAAAUGAAUUGGCAUCAACUUAUUUUGAAAGAUCUGUCGGUAGAAGAUGAGUAUGCGUCUGAUUAGCUAGUUGGUGAGGUAAAGGCUCACCAAGGCGACGAUCAGUAGGGGAUCUGAGAGGACUACCCCCCACACUGGUACUGAGACACGGACCAGACUCCUACGGGAGGCAGCAGUAAGGAAUAUUGGACAAUGGAGGCAACUCUGAUCCAGCCAUGCCGCGUGCAGGAUGACUGCCCUAUGGGUUGUAAACUGCUUUUGUACGGGAGAAAACCCUUUCACGUGUGAAAGGUUGAUAGUACCGUAAGAAUAAGGAUCGGCUAACUUCGUGCCAGCAGCCGCGGUAAGACGAAGGAUCCAAGCGUUAUCCGGAUUCAUUGGGUUUAAAGGGUGCGUAGGCGGGUUUGUAAGUCAGUGGUGAAAGCCGGUCGCUCAACGAUCGAAUUGCCAUUGAUACUGCGGACCUAGAAUAUAGAUGAUGUUGGCGGAAUAUGACAUGUAGCGGUGAAAUGCAUAGAUAUGUCAUAGAACACCGAUUGCGAAGGCAGCUGACAAAACUAUUAUUGACGCUGAUGCACGAAAGUGCGGGGAUCAAACAGGAUUAGAUACCCUGGUAGUCCGCACAGUAAACGAUGAUAACUAGAUGUUUGCGAUAUACCGUAAGCGUCCAAGCGAAAGCGAUAAGUUAUCCACCUGGGGAGUACGCCCGCAAGGGUGAAACUCAAAGGAAUUGACGG